rnacentral:tRNA from 2 species
CGGGGUGUAGCGCAGCGGGAGCGCACCUGCUUUGGGAGCAGGGGGUCAGAGGUUCAAAUCCUCUCACCCCGA